rnacentral:rRNA from 1 species
GGUCAAGCUACAAAGGGCGCAUGGUGAAUGCCUUGGCAUCAGGAGCCGAUGAAGGACGUGAUAAGCUGCGAUAAGCUUCGGGUAGGCGCACAUAGCCUGAGAUCCGAAGAUCUCCGAAUGAGGAAACUCACAUGGGAAACCCCAUGUAUCAUUAAGUGAAUACAUAGCUUAAUGAAGGUAACCCAGGGAACUGAAACAUCUAAGUACCUGGAGGAAGAGAAAGAAAAAUCGAUUUUCUUAGUAGCGGCGAGCGAAAGGGAAAGAGCCCAAACCGGAAACUUGUUUCCGGGGUUGUGGACAUAACAUAAAAGUGGAGGCUAUUGUAACUGAAGAGAACUGGAAAGUUCCACCGUAGAAGGUAAUAGUCCUGUAAGUGAAACGAGAAGACCACGAGUUAUGAUCCAGAGUACCACGAGACACGUGAAACCUUGUGGGAAGCAGGGAGGACCACCUCCCAAGGCUAAAUACUACCUGAUGACCGAUAGUGAAGCAGUACCGUGAGGGAAAGGUGAAAAGAACCCCGGGAGGGGAGUGAAAUAGAACCUGAAACCGUGUGCCUACAACCGCUCAGAGCCCCUUAUGAGGGUGAUGAGGUGCUUUUUGUAGAACGAGCCAACGAGUUACGGUAUGUAGCAAGGUUAAGUACUUAAGGUACGGAGCCGAAGGGAAACCGAGUCUGAAUAGGGCGACUAGUUGCAUGCCGUAGACCCGAAACCGGGUGACCUAUCCAUGGCCAGGUUGAAGCGAGGGUAAAACCUCGUGGAGGACCGAACCACGUUGCUGUUGAAAAAGCAUGGGAUGAGCUGUGGAUAGCGGAGAAAUUCCAAUCGAACCCGGAGAUAGCUGGUUCUCUCCGAAAUAGCUUUAGGGCUAGCGUCGAGUAUGAGUAGUGGAGGUAGAGCACUGAAUGGGCUAGGGGGCAUAGCGCUUACCGAACCUUAUCAAACUCCGAAUGCCACAUACUUUGAGCUCGGCAGUCAGACUACGAAUGAUAAGAUCCGUGGUCAAAAGGGAAACAGCCCAGAUCGUCAGCUAAGGUCCCAAAGUGUAAGUUAAGUGGGAAAGGAUGUGAGAUUUCUAAGACAACUAGGAUGUUGGCUUAGAAGCAGCCAUUCAUUAAAAGAGUGCGUAAUAGCUCACUAGUCGAGAGAUCUUGCGCCGAAAAUGUAACGGGGCUAAACUUACCACCGAAGCUACGGGCUUGAACUUAGUUCAAGCGGUAGGAGAGCGUCGUAACCGGGCUGAAGUCGUACCGUAAGGAGCGGUGGACUGGUUACGAGUGAGAAUGUUGGCAUCAGUAGCGAGAUGUGGGUGAGAAUCCCACAGGCCGAAAACCUAAGGUUUCCUCAGGAAGGUUCGUCCGCUGAGGGUUAGUCGGGACCUAAGCCGAGGCCGAAAGGCGUAGGUGAUGGACAACUGGUUGAUAUUCCAGUACCACUACCAUCGUUAUUAUCGAUGGCGUGACGCAGGAGGAUAGUGUGUGCUAGCUAUUGGAUGCUAGUCUAAGCGUUUAGGCAGUGAGAGUAGGCAAAUCCGCUCUCAUAAUGCUGAGGCGUGAUGGGGAAGGUUCUACGGAACCGAAGUACAUGAUUCCACGCUGCCAAGAAAAGCGUCUAGAGAGAGAAGUAGUGCCCGUACCGCAAACCGACACAGGUAGGUGAGGAGAGAAUCCUAAGGCCGGCGGAAGAAUUACAGUUAAGGAACUCGGCAAAUUGACCCCGUAAGUUCGCGAGAAGGGGUGCCUACGAGAGUAGGCCGCAGAGAAUAGGCCCAAGCAACUGUUUAGCAAAAACACAGGUCUCUGCUAAAGCGUAAGCUGAUGUAUAGGGGCUGACGCCUGCCCGGUGCUGGAAGGUUAAGGGGAACACUUAGCGCAAGCGAAGGUGUGAACUUAAGCCCCAGUAAACGGCGGCCGUAACUAUAACGGUCCUAAGGUAGCGAAAUUCCUUGUCAGGUAAGUUCUGACCCGCACGAAUGGCGUAAUGACUUGGGCACUGUCUCAACUGUAAAUCCGGCGAAGUUGUAGUGCGAGUGAAGAUGCUCGCUACCCGCGAUUGGACGGAAAGACCCCGUAGAGCUUUACUGUAGCUUAGCAUUGAGUUUUGGUAUUGUCUGUACAGGAUAGGUGGGAGACUAGGAAACCAGGGCGUCAGCCUUGGUGGAGUCAACCUUGGGAUACCACCCUGACAGUACUGAAAUUCUAACUGGCGGCCAUGAAUCUGGUCACAGGACAUUGUUAGGUGGGCAGUUUGACUGGGGCGGUCGCCUCCUAAAAAGUAACGGAGGCGCCCAAAGGUUCCCUCAGAACGGUCGGAAAUCGUUCGAAGAGUGCAAAGGCAGAAGGGAGCCUGACUGCGACACCCACAAGUGGAGCAGGGACGAAAGUCGGGCUUAGUGAUCCGGUGGUACCUCGUGGGAGGGCCAUCGCUCAACGGAUAAAAGCUACCUCGGGGAUAACAGGCUGAUCUCCCCCAAGAGUCCACAUCGACGGGGAGGUUUGGCACCUCGAUGUCGGCUCGUCGCAUCCUGGGGCUGAAGUAGGUCCCAAGGGUUGGGCUGUUCGCCCAUUAAAGCGGCACGCGAGCUGGGUUCAGAACGUCGUGAGACAGUUCGGUCCCUAUCCGUCGCGGGCGUAGGAAAUUUGAGAGGAGCUGUCCUUAGUACGAGAGGACCGGGAUGGACUGACCUCUGGUGUACCAGUUGUUCCGCCAGGAGCACAGCUGGGUAGCUAAGUCGGGAAUGGAUAAACGCUGAAAGCAUCUAAGCGUGAAGCCAACCUCAAGAUGAGAUUUCCCAUAGCGUAAGCUAGUAAGAUCCCUUGAAGAACACAAGGUUGAUAGGUCGGGGGUGUAAGCGUGGUAACAUGUUCAGCUGACCGAUACUAAUAGAUCGAGGGCUUGACCAA